ACUUAGAUCUAAAUCUAAAUUAGCCUAUGACUUAAUUUGGUUUUAUUAAGAAGCAAGAUUUGGAUCGAAUUCGAAUCUGAUUCAAAGAGCUAGAAUUUUCACACGUGCUUGCAUACUUACUGAAAACUUGAUUUGAUCCAAAAUUUUAAUCAACCAUAAAAAAUGGGUUCUUGAUCAAUUUCUUUACAUGUGUGACCCAUUGGAUUCCACAUCUAGCC
rnacentral:lncRNA from 1 species